AUAUAAAACAAGUUAGGAUUUGUUUAAUAUACAUUGUUUAUUGAAUUGAACGAGUGGAAAUUUGGAUUUUCUCUUGUUCGCUUUCACAUAUGUAUAUACUUUCUGUAAGUUUCGCCAUAUUGUUUGCUACACUACCGCCUUCUAAAGUAAAAAGGAGUUCGGGGUUAGAAUCAAAGUAUUAACACUUCGUUUGAUUCACUUAAUGUCCCUGUGUGUUUUUCUUGUUCGAGUGACUUUACACAGUUCCAUCAUUUAUUAAAUCCUACUUGUAAAGCGCGAACAAACUACGUAGGUUUCAUAGUGUUUACAUAAAAAUUAUCGGUGCAUUUUCGUAUACCAUUAAUAACCGACAUUCAAUCAAGAAUUUUGGAACAUGGCUGCUGCUGCUGCUGCUGCUCUGCUCGACGAGCUUAUGGGAAGGAAUAGAAAUGUUCUUCCCAAUGAAAAACCCAAAGAACUUAAUUGGGAAGAUCCUGAGUUUUGUAAAUUGUAUUUAGUUAAAUUUUGCCCUCAUGACUUAUUCGUUAAUACGAGAGCUGAUUUGGGUGCGUGUUCUCGAGUGCAUGAUGACGAAGCUAGAGAGUUAUUCGAAAAAGCUCCUUACUCGUAUCGAAAACAACAAUACGAGGAUGAAUUUAUUAGAUUUUGUCAAAGCAUGUUGAAUGAAGUUGAAAGAAAAAUAAUAAAGGGAAAACAACGAUUAGCCCUUAUUGGAAGAACAGAAGCGCCUACCUUGACACCAGCACAAACUCAAAGAAAUGAAGAACAAAUUGCACUUUUAACUGAAAAAAUCAAUAAACUAGUAGAAGAAGCAGAGCAAAGCGGAAUACAAGGCAAUGUGGAACAGGCUCAAGGCCUAAUGAGACUAUGCGAUCAAUUAAAAGAAGAACGAGAAACGUUAAGAAAGUCUAAUGAUAAUAGUCAUUACAAUCAGACUGCUGAAUUAGCUGCUGCACAAGAAAAACAGAUGGAGGUAUGUGAUGUAUGUGGUGCAUUUCUUAUUGUUGGUGAUGCUCAACAACGAAUUGAUGAUCACCUAAUGGGUAAACAACAUGUUGGCUAUGCUAGGUUAAAGAGCGCACUUCAAGAAAUUAUGAGCAAACGUGAAAAAGCCAGAGAUGAAAAGGAGCAAAGGAGGGAAGAGGAUAGAAAACAAAGAGCACGUGCAAAUGAAGAACUUGAUAGGCGAAGAAGAGAUGAUAGGGAUAGGGAUAGAGAAAGAGAUAAGCGUCGUAGGCGUGAUGAUGAUAAAGGCAGACAUGACUCAAGCAGUCACAGAAAUUCAGGACACAGAAGUAGAAGCAGAUCAAGAGACAAACAUGACAGACAUCGAGAUGAUGAUCACCGACGUCAUGCUCGAGAUAAAGGAAGUCGUGAUCAUCGAAGCUCGAGUCAUCACAACCGGCGUCGCCAUCGAUCUAGAAGUCGAAGUCACAAGUAACUACUCUUGAUUGGUUAGUGAGUGAGAAGUAAGCCAGGUAUGCACUAAACAAUAUAUCAUACUCGUCUCAAUUACUGUACAGGUUCUUUACCAGGUGAGUUUCAUUAGAUGCACAUAAUAUAUACAUGAUAAUUAUCUGUAAUUUUGAAGAAUGGCAUAGUCACAGCGAGCCAGUCUCUGGUCCUGCCUAUUAAUCGGAGAAACACUUGUACUAAAUUUCAUAUGGACCUGUUUGUACAGCGUUUAAUUUUCAAAGUGACGAGCUCGCUCUAUGUAACGUAUUACUGAAAAACGGUGCAUCGAGGUAAUGUCGAGCAAGGAAUAGUAAAAGUUGUUCCCAUAUGAAAGGUAUUUUUAUCAUGUAGUACUAUAGAUAUUGUCUACAGAGCAAGAUAGGAGAAGGUAUACCUAUGCUUGCUUUGAUCGGUAUAAUGUCUUCAUAGGGUAAAUCAAUUAUAUAACUUCAACAACUGCAUAGCUUUUUUGUCGAAAAGAAAUUAGUGGUUUAGUGGAGGAAACAGUGCCUACUUCCGUAGACCUGCCACAACAGUGCCCUGUGUGACUGUGACUAUACAAUCCUAGCUUCUACUACGCAUUUCUGAGGUAUUUAUAUCGGAAUGAUAAUACCAAACAUGUCCUUUUAUUAGGAAAAUUAGACGUUUUCAAAAUGGUGAUCUUUAUUUUGGAGCAAUAUUUGAGUGCUUAAAGUUAUGAUAACAAACUCCUGCUCUUACUUUCCUUAUACCCUGAUUGUAAUUUAUUGGAGCAUAUUCAAUUUGAAAUCAAACAAUUAUUAAUUAGUCAGGGAAAAUUUCUGCUAUGUACCCAAAGGAACAAGUUUAAUCAUUAUGUUUAAGAUAAUAAAGCCAUAAUUUUUUGAAAUAAUAAAAGAUUCAUAUGUAUAGUCCAAAAAUAUAAAAUACGCAUAUUUAACAGCCAUGUGGCUAUAAUUGAUUAAUCGAUAAAUAAGUCCAGAUUAUAACUUGGUAUAUAGUUGUAUCGUCGUCUUUUGAACUCUACUUGUAAAAGUUCGAGAAACAUGUAUCAUAUAUGAUGCAUAUUCUUCCCUUUGCAUGCAUUUUUUUCUCCAUUAUUUUUAGUUCUGAGAGACAGGACAUGGCGAAGCUCAGUCAAAUUUUCUUAGCAGAAAGUCGUAAUUGUUAUAGUAUCACGGUACAGCGAUUUGAAGGUUGAUGACAGGUCAUGUGGAAUGUAUCUUAUGGUGCUCCGAGGACAUCCCCUUUAAUCAUAUCUUGUCUUAUUCUUUUAUCGUGUCCUUCAUUUCGGCUUAUAGAAAACUCAUACUUUGUGCGCGUACUACAUUUGUGUAAUUCAUAUGUAAUUCAUAUUGACUCAUGAUAAAUCAUUCACACAUUUAAUAAUAUACUUCCUGGACCACAUAGAUUAAAAAAAAAUAGAAAGAAAGAAAGAGAAAUGGAAGAAACAAAGUAUUAAAAUAAUGGCUCUAAAUAAAGGAUCGUCUUGUAUUGUUACAUUGGGAUGAAAGGAGUCUUACAUGAUAAAAGAUCCCAAUUGUUUCUAAUUAAAAUUUGUUAUCCAUCAUGAUAGGUUUUCAUUCCACUCUCAUUUCAUUUUUAUACUGUCAUACAUCUGAUAAAUAAUUUUAUAUUGAAGGAAAAUUACUAAAAAUAAAUUUAUUAAAACAUUAUUUCAGCACAGACCUACUCACAUGAAAAAGGAGUGAAUUUAUUAAAUAGUAUUAAAUUUUUAUAUUAAUAAGUAUCUUCUAAAAAGGUUAAUAAUAUUUGUUAUAUAACUUUUGUAAUGAUAAUUAAUGUCACUUUUUCGUCUAUAAGUUUAUUAAUACAUCAAUUAUUUUUAUUUAAAUUUUGUAUAAUGUAUUUAAAAACUUAUUCUGUUUAUUUCCAAUGUCACAAGCAAAGAUGAUCAGUUUUAAUUAUGUAAUCUGCUUCCUCACACAUGUAGCCGACAGAAGUAUGAUAAUUUUUUAAAUGUCAUGUAUUAGGACAAGGUUAACAAAUAAUAUAUAAAUACGUUAUCCUGUGCUAUUUGGUAACGACCAAAAUUAAUAUGAGAAAAAAAGAUAAUAGGAUCAUAAUUUCUAAAAGCUGUGUUGUCUAUUUUCAGACAGGAGACAUGCCAUGGGAAUAUAACCAUUACAACAGGCUCACUUGCACACUGCUUAAUAUAAUAUUAAGCUUAUACUUGUAUAUUUGGGACAUCAAACUCGCAAAUUCAUAAUGCAAAUGAACACAUGAGAUACUAAAUGGUGGAUACUGCUCCACAUAAAUCAUCUCCCAUCCAGUACACCUCUUUUUCUAAUUAGAGAAAGCCCGCUACUUGAAACGAACUGGAUUUCCUGUUUGUGCGCUGUGUUCGCUUCAGAAUUAUAAUUUGCAGUAGGAUGUCGGCCAUUUCUACUUCGUAUACAGCGUGGUGUGGUCGUUAUUCUUACGCAGUCGAGUAAGGUA